rnacentral:rRNA from 1 species
AGAGUUUGAUCAUGGCUCAGGACGAACGCUGGCGGUGCGCCUUAUGCAUGCAAGUCGAGCGAAGCUUUUCAGUAGUUUACUACAGAAAAUGACUGAGCGGCGAACGGGUGAGUAACGCGUGAGCAAUCUACCUUAGUUACAGGGAUAGCCCGAGGAAACUCGGAUUAAUACCUGAUAUUCUUUAUUUCUCGCAUGAGAAUAAAAGGAAAGGUCAGCCGAACUAAGAUGAGCUCGCGUUCUAUCAGCUUGUUGGUGAGGUAAAAGCUUACCAAGGCUACGACGGAUAGCUGGUCUGAGAGGACGAUCAGCCACACUGGGACUGAGACACGGCCCAGACUCCUACGGGAGGCUGCAGCAGGGAAUAUUGUGCAAUGAACGAAAGUUUGACACAGCGACACCGCGUGUGGGAUGACGGAUCUAGGUUUGUAAACCACUUUCAGGAGGGAAGAAAAUGACGGUACCUCCACAAGAAGCCCCGGSCAACUACGUGCCAGCAGCCGCGUAAUACGUAGGGGGCGAGCGUUGUCCGGAUUUAUUGGGCGUAAAGAGCUCGUAGGCGGUUCAACAAGUCGGYCGUGAAAGUUCAGGGCUCAACCCUGAAAUGUCGAUCGAUACUGUUGUGACUAGGAUACGGUAGAGGUGAGUGGAAUUCCGAGUGUAGCGGUGAAAUGCGUAGAUAUUCGGAGGAACACCAAUUGCGAAGGCAGCUCACUGGGCCG